GAUGAACGCUGGCGGCGUGCCUAAUACAUGCAAGUCGAGCGAACAGACGAGGAGCUUGCUCCUCUGACGUUAGCGGCGGACGGGUGAGUAACACGUGGAUAACCUACCUAUAAGACUGGGAUAACUUCGGGAAACCGGAGCUAAUACCGGAUAAUAUAUUGAACCGCAUGGUUCAAUAGUGAAAGACGGUUUUGCUGUCACUUAUAGAUGGAUCCGCGCCGCAUUAGCUAGUUGGUAAGGUAACGGCUUACCAAGGCGACGAUGCGUAGCCGACCUGAGAGGGGGAUCCGCCACACUGGGACUGAGACAAGGUCCCAACCCCUAAGGGAGGCAGCAGUAGGGAAUCUUCCGCAAUGGGCCAAAGCCUGACGGAGCAACGGCGGGUGAAUGAUUAAGGUCUUCGGAUCGUAAAACCCUGUGAUUAGGGAAGAACCAAUGUGUAAGUAACUAUGCACGUCUUGACGGUACCUAAUCAGAAAGCCACGGCUAACUACGUG
rnacentral:rRNA from 1 species